GACGAACGCUGGCGGCGUGCUUAACACAUGCAAGUCGAACGGAAAGGCCCUGCUUUUGUGGGGUGCUCGAGUGGCGAACGGGUGAGUAACACGUGAGUAACCUGCCCUUGACUUUGGGAUAACUUCAGGAAACUGGGGCUAAUACCGGAUAGGAGCUCCUGCUGCAUGGUGGGGGUUGGAAAGUUUCGGCGGUUGGGGAUGGACUCGCGGCUUAUCAGCUUGUUGGUGGGGUAGUGGCUUACCAAGGCUUUGACGGGUAGCCGGCCUGAGAGGGUGACCGGCCACAUUGGGACUGAGAUACGGCCCAGACUCCUACGGGAGGCAGCAGUGGGGAAUAUUGCACAAUGGGCGGAAGCCUGAUGCAGCAACGCCGCGUGCGGGAUGACGGCCUUCGGGUUGUAAACCGCUUUCGCCUGUGACGAAGCGUGAGUGACGGUAAUGGGUAAAGAAGCACCGGCUAACUACGUGCCAGCAGCCGCGGUGAUACGUAGGGUGCGAGCGUUGUCCGGAUUUAUUGGGCGUAAAGGGCUCGUAGGUGGUUGAUCGCGUCGGAAGUGUAAUCUUGGGGCUUAACCCUGAGCGUGCUUUCGAUACGGGUUGACUUGAGGAAGGUAGGGGAGAAUGGAAUUCCUGGUGGAGCGGUGGAAUGCGCAGAUAUCAGGAGGAACACCAGUGGCGAAGGCGGUUCUCUGGGCCUUUCCUGACGCUGAGGAGCGAAAGCGUGGGGAGCGAACAGGCUUAGAUACCCUGGUAGUCCACGCUGUAAACGGUGGGUACUAGGUGUGGGGUCCAUUCCACGGGUUCCGUGCCGUAGCUAACGCUUUAAGUACCCCGCCUGGGGAGUACGGCCGCAAGGCUAAAACUCAAAGGAAUUGACGGGGCCCCGCACAAGCGGCGGAGCAUGCGGAUUAAUUCGAUGCAACGCGUAGAACCUUACCUGGGUUUGACAUGGAUCGGGAGCGCUCAGAGAUGGGUGUGCCUCUUUUGGGGUCGGUUCACAGGUGGUGCAUGGCUGUCGUCAGCUCGUGUCGUGAGAUGUUGGGUUAAGUCCCGCAACGAGCGCAACCCUUGUUCACUGUUGCCAGCACGUUAUGGUGGGGACUCAGUGGAGACCGCCGGGGUCAACUCGGAGGAAGGUGGGGAUGACGUCAAGUCAUCAUGCCCCUUAUGUCCAGGGCUUCACGCAUGCUACAAUGGCUGGUACAGAGAGUGGCGAGCCUGUGAGGGUGAGCGAAUCUCGGAAAGCCGGUCUCAGUUCGGAUUGGGGUCUGCAACUCGACCUCAUGAAGUCGGAGUCGCUAGUAAUCGCAGAUCAGCAACGCUGCGGUGAAUACGUUUCCCGGGGCU
rnacentral:rRNA from 1 species